GGAGGAGUCGCAUAGUGGACUAGUGCACCGGUCUUGAAAACCGGCGAGCGGGGUGACUCGUUCCGUGGGUUCGAAUCCCACCUCCUCCGCCA
rnacentral:tRNA from 1 species